rnacentral:rRNA from 1 species
GGCCGCGGGAAUUCGAUUCAGGCCUAACACAUGCAAGUCGAGCGAUGAAGCACCUUCGGGUGUGAAUUAGCGGCGAACGGGUGAGGAACACGUGAGAAAUCUGCCUUCAACUCUGGGAUAACUCCGGGAAACCGGGGCUAAUACCGGAUAUGAGCCUCUUUCGCAUGAAGGGGGCUGGAAAGUUUUUCGGUUGAAGAUGAUCUCGCGGCCUAUCAGCUUGUUGGUGAGGUAACGGCUCACCAAGGCUACGACGGGUAUCCGGCCUGAGAGGGCGACCGGACACACUGGGACUGAGACACGGCCCAGACUCCUACGGGAGGCAGCAGUGGGGAAUAUUGGGCAAUGAGGGAAAGCCUGACCCAGCGACGCCGCGUGAGGGAUGAAGACGGUCGGGUUGUAAACCUCUUUCAGUGGGAAGAAGCGAAA